UACAGAGGUCUCAAGCGUUGUUCGGAUUCAUUGGGCGUAAAGGGUGCGUAGGCGGCGCGGUAAGUCGGGUGUGAAAUCUCGGAGCUUAACUCCGAAACUGCAUUCGAUACUGCCGUGCUUGAGGACUGGAGAGGAGACUGGAAUUUACGGUGUAGCGGUGAAAUGCGUAGAUAUCGUUUGGAACGCCUGUGGUGAAAACGGGUCGCUGGGGCUGUGCUGACGCUGAGACACGAAAGCCAGGGGAGCAAACGGG
rnacentral:rRNA from 1 species